GGGGUUGUGGUUCAGUGGUAGAGCGCUCACCUACCAUGUGUGAGGCACUGGGUUUGAUCCUCAGCACCACA
rnacentral:tRNA from 1 species